ensembl:lincRNA Gm26535 predicted gene, 26535
ACAGUGUGAUGACUCACCAGCCUUACUUCCUGCUGUGGAGUGCUUUCUCCUGCUCAGCAAGGCUCAGCGCUGAAUUUCCUGUGACAUUUGCAUAAUUCUGAGUCUCUUCUGGACUGUGAAGGAGACCUUCUAGAAAGUUGUGUCUGCUGAGACUGAUUGACUGAUUAGAAUUUCAAUGCUAUGGAGAGAUUUGAAUGUUACAGGUCCAGAGGCUAAUUACCUUAUCUUCGGUUAACUUUACCGGCACACCUCAACAGCUAUUCCUUGUGUGCCUCUGUGUCAGAACCAGCAUCCUGUGACUAAUAGAUAAAAGCCUUUGGAAACUAUUAAUUUAACAGACCUUCUACCAAGCCCAAAGAUAACAGUGUUAACAGAUAACAUCUUUGGUCUAUAAAAUAAGUUUCUUCAACCUUGCUGUAAGCACCUCUCAGAUAUGCCCACCAAUGUAUUUUAAGCCUGUCCCGAUUUAUGACUUUCAACAUUCUGUAAAACUAUAAAACUUCAUGGAACUGCUUCUAGUUCAAACAUGGACUUUGAGGUAUCUUAAUCUGUGUUUCUGGUCAUUCAGAAUGGAUCCAGAAUGAAUUAGCUUUUAUUCUUCUUAAGAAGGAAAAUUGUUUUUUGAGUUGACACAAUCAAAGCCAAAUUUUUAAAUAAAUUAAAAAUUAUUUUUAAAUGUAAGAAUUGAUUAUUGAUAUUAACUCCCCCAGUUAAGCAAAAGCUAUUGACAUAGUAUGUUAACAAGUAUGCAUGUCUGUCCUCUGACUUGUGAAGGAAUUCAAAUAUGUUUUGGUGAAGUUUAGUAAUAGUGGGGGACUAUGGCUAUCAUAGUAUGGGGCCUCCUCAAUAACAAGACAGAAACUAAGAAACUUCUAUCUCUUUAAAAUAGAAUGGACCAUUUUGCCUCCAGAGGAUGUAAAUUGAACAUGUCUUUGUGUUUUCACUUAGAAUUUUAUUUCUGUUCUCACACCCCACCCUCCUUUACAUGAAUAUUAAGGUCCAAGGCUUUAGCAACAGGCAUUUGGUCCUGGGGGAAGAAAGGGUAAAGGGAAGAGUGUUGUGUAUGGCUUUUCAUAUGUUAAUGGUUGAUUCCAUGGCAACCAUUGAAAAAAAGAAGGGCUAGGGACAAAAGGGGCUGCAGGAGAGAGGAUGGGGCUCUUUCAGGGGCUAGUAAGAAUAACAGCCCAGACCCUCUCCUCUGAAAGAUAUCUGAUGGCCAGACCUCAAAGGACUUUGUCUUAAUAGUGCAGAGUCAGUAUGUAAUUAAUGCAGAGUUUUAUGAGUCCAAAUUUCACCCUCAAUGAUGUUUCCCCUUUAAACCGUGGAGAAUAAGAAUCUGAAACCAAGAGGAUGUUUCAAAUCACUGCUCCCAUUGGGACCCACAACGGAGUCUAUCCAGAGGACACACUAGACUAUCGGCUCUAAGCAUCAGACAUUUUAGUUUUGAGUUAAAAGGUCAAGGGCUUUUAUCUUUGAGUACAAGAAAGCUUUUAAAGCUGGCUGACUAAGAGCAAGCACAGUGGGAAUGGCUGUGCUCUCUCUCACAUGCAUCCUUUGAACACUGUCGUCCCUGAUGACAUGUUGAAAUGGUACAGGACACAGACAAGAGCAGGUCACAGGACACAGAGGACACUGGUGACAUUCCAUUUCUUGGCUUCCUUGACCAAUGAAAAGAAUUCCUGGUUGCCUAUCUAUCCUCCCAGAAACAUGGUGACAUCCUCACAUCAGAUUCCCUAGUGUGCUAAAUCUUCAUGUGAACUUCAGUGGUUAUACAUAUGAAAUAGCUGUUGUAUCUUGCCAGCACAACACACUCUUUCUAGCCCUUUCUCAAGUACUGCAAAGCAUUACAUUCAGUAACAAUGCCAACUUUACCAAUUUUCUAUCCAGCCUUGUUUUCUCGCAUGUGUAUUCCUCAGUCUUUGAUUGAAUUAUAUUGAAUUCCUCUCUCUCUCUCUUUUUGUCUCCUUUAAAUAGUUGCCAGAGACCAGCCACCAGUAGCUGCGAUACAGUGUUUUCUCUGUUUCGAUAGACACAAGGGCUUUUUAUCACAAUGGAAUGCUUAUGGAAUUGCAUGUUUCAAAAGACACUAAACAUGAAAAUACAACUUCAUUCAAAGUCAGAUUACAAUUAUGAAUAGCAAGGCUACAAUGAAGAGAGAGAGAAAGAAGUGCUGGUCUGUCUUUCUUUCAGUGGUUAUAAAAUGUAAUUCUUUUUUUUUUCCCUCAUAAGCCUUAUGAACCUUACUCCUGCUUUCAUGCUAUUCAAAACUCUGAUGGGGUGGAAAGAACAGAGUUAUUGUAGCUACCAGGAAUCCCAAUAUGAGGUCUGACAAUAUUGUUACCAAUAUUACAUUAUAAAGAGACAGUUUCUUCAAAAUGAUCUUAUUUUUGAAUGCCUGUUUGCUUGAUUUUUGCUGAGUAAUAUUUGACAUCUGAUAUUUUGGCAACAACACUGAAUAAUUAAUCUAUUCAUCAAAAUUUUUAGAAGUGUUUUUAUAGACUAGGACUUGGUCAUAUUUGAUCAGUACAUGCUAUGACUGGUUGUCAUGGAAAUGUAGCCUAGUAUAUAUGGAUAAUUGUGUAAAUAAAGAAUCAUCCC